UGGAGGUUUGUAAGACACCAGGAGACCAAAGGAAGCAUACCCAAACAGAAGUGUCUGAAUGAACCAGUGGAACUGAACUGCUGGGUCAGUGAUGCCUUUAGACUGGCAUAAUUUUAUACCGUACAAGGCUUCUACUAUGUGAAUCAACCAGGAUACAUAGAACCCAUAGCACACCCACUUGUGGUAGUUGUCCACUAAAUAACGAAGGAAGUCACCGAACAGUCCCAAAUAGCUAUAAGGGAUGGUUGAAGGUGACAGUGUUACCCAGCCUAGCAGGAUCAUGCCGAGGAUGAUGCCGAUCAUCCAGAUGAGCCGCGAGCGCUGGAAGUGGCAGCUGCCAUCGCGCACCCGCUCCGCACCCGUCAUCCUGCCGCCAACCGCCGAGCCGCGCGCCGCCGCCGGAGGUAAACUGCCGCGCGGGGGGUG
rnacentral:lncRNA from 1 species